CAGUAAGUAGUUUAAUUAAAAUUUAAGUUUUGGGAAUUUAAGAUGCUCCUAAUAGUCUUACUGA
rnacentral:tRNA from 1 species